GUGAGCUGUGGCCAGAGCUCAAGGAUGAAGGGGACUCCCUCACUCUGUGACUGUGAAGAGGAAGCCUGAGGUGUAGCAGGCCCAGGUCCCAGAAGUAUGGAAAAAAUGAGCAUUUCAUCCCAAAGAUGCAGCCGACUUGAUUGUGGUGGAUAAGCUUUUUGAUGUGCUGCUGGAUUCUGUUUGCUAGUAUUUUAUUAAGAAUUUUUGCAUUAAUGUUCAUCAGGGAUAUUGGCCUGGAUUGAGCAGGCCAUUUCCAAUCCAGCGGAAGACCUUCUAGAAGAGGUGAUGGGUGGGAGAGUGCUGGCAUACUAUGUGAAGCUACUAUUUGGAGUUGGACACGAGUGCAUGUGACCUUGUGCCACAGCGGGAAUGUGAGCUGGAUGACAAAUGGAGAUUUGGACUUGUGAUAAUUGGCCUCUGUGUCAUUGUGUGGAAGACUGACUGGUCCCUUUAUUUCCUGUAGCUUGACUACCACACAAAUGAAUCCACUCAAAUGUUGGCAAGUGGAGCAGAGUCCCAGGACAGGUACAGAAACACCCCCAGUUCAAGGAUCUUCACACCUGGAUUUAGGCCUACUCCUGCAACUACCCCAGAACCUGGAAUUUAUAUGUUCAACAUGGAGCCAUCCCAGCCAUGACAACAGAGAAUGUACCACUCUCACGGGGUAAUAUCGAGUUCCAGAAGGCAAGGAUUAACAUUCAGAAAAAUAGGAAAAACAACCUGCAGGCCAGUUAUCCAGGCAGUGACUUUCAGUGCAGCUACAGUCACCUCUGGAAACCUGCGGAGACUUUAAAAAUUUCCAGAAGGUCAGGAAUUUUUGGAGACCUUUCUCAUGGCUACAUUGCCUGCAAAGGUGAAUCAAUAAGCUUCUGAACUGACUUAGAAAAUGUUGCAGAGACUCUUGUGAACAGAUAGACCCUCUCCUGCCACUCAGAUAGACGUAUCAGGGUCACACACACCUGAUUUAACAACAUGUCAUUAUCUCAGGUGGGCAACAGACAGCAAUUUAGGACCUAUCCCAGUGUGGAUGAAAGACAUUGAGUUGGCU
rnacentral:lncRNA from 10 species